GACGAACGCUGGCGGCGUGCUUAACACAUGCAAGUCGAACGGAAAGGCCUCUCUCGGGGGGUACUCGACUGGCGAACGGGUAAGUAACACGUGAGUAACCUGCCCCUCUCUUUGGGAUAACUUCAGGAAACUCGGGUAAAUACCGGUUAGCAGUUCCCGCUGCAUGGUGGGGGGUGGGAAGUUUCGGCGGUUGGGGGUGGACUCGCCGCUUAUCAGCUUGUUGGUGGGGUAGUGGCCUACCAAGGCUUUGGGGGGUCGGCGGCCCGAGAGGGUGACCGGCCACAAUGGGACUGGGAUACGGCCCAGACUCCUACGGGAGGGAGCAGGGGGGAAGAUUGCACAAUGGGGGGAAGCCUGAUGCAGCAACGGCGUGGUCGGGAUGACGGCCUUCGGGGUGUAAACCGUUUUCGCGCAUGACGAAGGUGUGUGUGACGGUAGUGGGUAAAGAAGCACCGGCUAACUACGUG
rnacentral:rRNA from 1 species